CCUACGGGAGGCAGCAGUGGGGAAUAUUGCGCAAUGGGCGAAAGCCUGACGCAGCGACGCCGCGUGAGGGAUGAAGGUCUUCGGAUCGUAAACCUCUGUCAGCAGGGAAGAACGGUCACUGUGCUAAUCAGCAGUGAAUUGACGGUACCUGCAAAGGAAGCACCGGCUAACUCCGUGCCAGCAGCCGCGGUAAUACGGAGGGUGCGAGCGUUAAUCGGAAUUACUGGGCGUAAAGCGCUCGUAGGCGGUAUGUCAAGUCAAGGGUGAAAUCCCCGCGCUCAACGUGGGAACUGCCUUUGAAACUGGCAAACUGGAGUGUGUGAGAGGAGAGUGGAAGUCCAGGUGUAGGAGUGAAAUCCGUAGAUAUCUGGAGGAACAUCAGUGGCGAAGGCGACUAUCUGGAACAUAACUGACGCUGAGGAGCGAAAGCGUGGGUAGCAAACAGGAUUAGAUACCCGGGUAGUC
rnacentral:rRNA from 1 species